GCCCCGGUAACUCAAUUGGCAGAGUAACGGCCUUUUAAGCCGGAAGUUGUGAGUUCGACUCUCACCCGGGGCACCA
rnacentral:tRNA from 1 species